GAGCCUGCUGGGGACGGCACCUUAGGCUGGGAGGUGGUGGUGGAGAUGCUCCAGACUCCGUGCUUCUGCUGAUGAGACGUUCUCCGAUCCCCAGCCUCUGCAAUGGUCCUCCCCGUCCGCCGGAGUCAGCCCCCCUCGGCCAACACCUCCCAGCAUCCCUGGACUAAAGAGAAUUGUCCCCCAGAUACAUGGGAAGGGAUGGGCCCCAGACGCCGCCCUAGAAAGCCAGAGGGCUCAGACGGCCUUCAGACAGCCUGUCCCCAAUUCAUCUCCCGGUGCCUGAGAGUUGGGGGUGGAAACAUCCACGCCAACCCCCUCAGAGGUGUCUGGAGGCAGAGACAUGAGCGGGCUUUAGGGAAAACAUAAAGUUUGCUUCAGAUGCAA